rnacentral:lncRNA from 1 species
CUGUGAGUGAUGUCACCGAUGAGCAGGCUUUUGAGAGACAUAUAAGAAAGAAACAACCUAAUUUCUAAGAGGCGAACUGUAAACGUCAGUGCCCAGGUACCAUCCAUAGGAUUCUGGUGAAUGCUUUGAGAAUCCAAGAUAGUGCUGUCUUUUAGCUAAUGGGCUGAGUGAGUGAGAGGGCAGCAAGGCGUCAGAGGGAAGAGACAUAGGCAGAGCAACAAUACUCAGGAAAGAAGUGGACAGAUGGCCGUAGCAGUUUAAUUGGCUUAUAUAUUCAAUAACUAUGUCUUCUUAAAGUUGCAGUUAAGGGCUAUUCUACAGGCUCUUCUCAGACAUCUGAGCUUACGUGGUCUUCCUGCCUCAUCUUUCUCAUCUGGUGCUACAAGAACAUGCCAUUGUUCCUGGCUCAGUAAUAUUCUUGAAUAUUUGCUGCCAGUGCCUCUAAGUUAGGGAUCUAAGAAAGAAAUGACAAAAUCAAGUCUAUGCCCUUGAGUCGCUUGUAACUCUGUAUGCUGGCUAGUAUUUUUAACUAUUUGCUUGCCAUAACUUACAAUCAACUGAGAAGACAGCCUCAGUUGAAGACAUUUUUAGAUCAGGUUGGCCCACAGCCAUGUCAGUAGGGGUUGUCUUGAUGGUGAAUAAGGAUAGGGAGAAGCUCUUUGAAUGAGAUCAUCAUCACUUGUGCGGUUCUAUCAAUCUACCUAUGCAUUUCUACACCACCUCUCACCAGAGUGCUUGCCUCCUGUUCUCCCUAAGCAAUGAGGUUAAUAUUGAAGAACCGGGUACAUCCAUGGUGCUCGCAGCAUCCAGACGGAGAGGACACAACCCAUCUACGAAGCAUCAGCUUCCACAUCCUAACCACAUCCCUGUCCUUUAUUUCUUUCCCACAAUGUAAGGGCAAUAAAGAUUAACCUAUCUACUUAAGUUUUGUAAUUACAGUUAUAUAUAAAAGACUUGGUAAUGUUCUUUUAUAUAAAAAUAAAAUAUUCAAUGCAUGAUAUUUAAAACAGACAUAAAGAUGUAACAGGUAUUCCUUUAAGAAAAUUCCUCUGGUGGCAUUCUAGAUGAAUCCUGCUGAUGUCUCACUGCCACAGAAGCCAGAAAGCAGGAGAUUCUGGGUUGAAAAUCAGAGGCCACAUCUCAGGACUUAGAGGAAAGUGAUGAGUGGAGAACAAGAUGCUCAUCUCAGCACGGCUUGAGAUAAUGGUCACUCUUCCAGGAAACCUGGUCAUCUUCCCUUGUGACGGUGGUGAGUGAUGGCUGCCUGGUGUGUCUAAGUUGUGUUCACAUGGCUCCUGAGAGCUGACUGAUUUUAAUGCCUGACUCCAUUCAACAAAAUCCAAUAAAGCUUUAUUUGACCACCUACUGUGAGCCAAUCGAUAGAAAAUGAGCUUGGAUUAUAAAAAAUAAUAACACACAAAGUGGUAGUCACCUUCUCCAGUCGUUCUACCGAGAGGUAUGAAGCUUUACCUGAAGGCAUGCCCUUUCCUCUUCUGGAGAAGUCUGACCACUUAAGCAUGUUCAUUCAAGAAGUGCAAAAUUACUUAACGAGUUUCCGACUGGAGAGAUCUUACCUGGCUUCAUUUAGAGGGGUGCAUGGAGAUAAGACCCUGACUGUUCAAGUUGCUUUGAAGAAUUCUAAGAAAGACGUGAGGCUCAAAAGCCUGCUUUGAAAUAGAGAGCUACUGACUGGAUAGUUCUUACAAUAAAAGUUGACAAGAGAA